UCCGAUAUGGUCUAGUGGCUAGGAUACCUGGCGCUCACCCAGGAGGCUCGGGUUCGAUUCCCGGUAUCGGAA
rnacentral:ncRNA from 14 species